GGUGGCUUAGUGGUAGAGUGCUUGCCUUGCAUGCAUAAGGCCCUGGGUUCGAUUCCUCAGCACCA
rfam:Dipodomys ordii contig_32499, whole genome shotgun sequence.